UAGUAACUGCGAGUGAAGCGGGAAAAGCUCAAAUUUAAAAUCUGGCGGUCUCCGGCCGUCCGAGUUGUAAUCUAGAGAAGCGUUAUCCGCGCUGGACCGUGUACAAGUCUCCUGGAACGGAGCGUCAUAGAGGGUGAGAAUCCCGUCUUUGACACGGACUACCAGUGCUUUGUGAUGCGCUCUCAAAGAGUCGUGUUGUUUGGGAAUGCAGCACUAAAUGGGUGGUAAAUUCCAUCUAAAGCUAAAUAUUGGCGAGAGACCGAUAGCGAACAAGUACCGUGAGGGAAAGAUGAAAAGAACUUUGGAAAGAGAGUUAAACAGUACGUGAAAUUGCUGAAAGGGAAACGCUUGAAGUCAGUCGCGUCGGCCGGGGAUCAGCCUUGCUCUUUUGCUUGGUGUACUUCCCGGUCGACGGGCCAGCAUCAGUUUCGGCCGGCGGAAAAAGGCCAGGGGAAUGUGGCACCUUCGGGUGUGUUAUAGCCCCUGGUCACAUACGUCGGCUGGGACUGAGGAACUCAGCACGCCGCAAGGCCGGGUCUUUGACCACGUACGUGCUUAGGAUGCUGGCAUAAUGGCUUUAAUCGACCCGUCUUGAAACACGGACCAAGGAGUCUAACAUGCCCGCGAGUGUUUGGGUGGAAAACCCAUGCGCGUAAUGAAAGUAAAGGUUGAGAUCCCUGUCGUGGGGAGCAUCGACGCCCGGGCCAGACCUUUUGUGACGGUCCCGCGGUAGAGCGUGUAUGUUGGGACCCGAAAGAUGGUGAACUAUGCCUGAAUAGGGUGAAGCCAGAGGAAACUCUGGUGGAGGCUCGUAGCGAUUCUGACGUGCAAAUCGAUCGUCGAAUUUGGGUAU
rnacentral:rRNA from 1 species